UACGUAGGGACCAAGCGUUGUCCGGAAUCAUUGGGCGUAAAGGGCGCGUAGGUGGCGGCUUAAGCGUGCGGUGAAAGCUCGGGGCUCAACCCCGAGUCGGCCGUGCGAACUGAGUCGCUUGAGCACUGUAGAGGCAGGCGGAAUUCCGGGUGUAGCGGUGGAAUGCGUAGAGAUCCGGAAGAACACCGGUGGCGAAGGCGGCCUGCUGGGCAGUAGCUGACACUGAGGCGCGACAGCGUGGGGAGCAACAGGAU
rnacentral:rRNA from 1 species